ACUCUAAGCGGUGGAUCACUUGGCUCAUGGGUCGAUGAAGAACGCAGCAAACUGUGCGUCAUCGUGUGAACUGCAGGACACAUGAACAUCGACAUUUUGAACGCAUAUCGCAGUCCAUGCUGUAAAGUACACUAAUUUUUAAUUAUUGUGCUGCUUGGACUACAUAUGGUUGAGGGUUGUAAGACUAUGCUAAAUGAGUUGCUUUUUUUUUAAAUUAAAAUCAAAGCACAUGUUGUAUUACUGGAUGUAAAAGCAUUCAUAAUACUAAUAACCAAGAUACCAAAUGUACCUCAAAUUGAAUAUAAUCAAAAGAAUAUUCUUUUUUUUUAUAGAGGAAGGUCUAGUAUAAAAAAUUUUUUAAUCUAGAAUUGCUUCUUAAAGAAAAAUUGAAUAACCGUAUGUUCCAUACUAUAUAUAUAUAUAUAUAUAUAUAGAUGAAGAACAAAAAAGUCGUAACAAAGUCAGCCGUAGAAAGAAAAAACAGAUUUUUAUUCAAGAAAAGAAGUACAUAUAUCUUAAUUAAUUUUAAAUAUAUAUUUAUACAACCUCAACUCAUAUGGGAUUACCCCUGAAUUUAAGCAUAUUAAUGGGGAGGAAAAGAAACUAACAAGGAUUUUCUUAGUAGCGGCGAGCGAAAAGAAAAUAGUUCAGCACUAAGUCACUUUGUCUUUAUGGCAAAUGUGAGAUGCAGUGUAUGGAAUGUCAAAUUUCUAGUAUGAGAAAUUAGUGAUUUAAGUCCUUCUUAAAUGAGGCCAUUUACCCAUAGAGGGUGCCAGGCCCGUAUAACAUUAAUGAUUAUUAGAUGGCAUUUCCAAAGAGUCGUGUUGCUUGAUAGUGCAGCACUAAGUGGGUGGUAAACUCCAUCUAAAACUAAAUAUAACCAUGAGACCGAUAGUAAACAAGUACCGUGAGGGAAAGUUGAAAAGAACUCUGAAUAGAGAGUUAAAUAGUACGUGAAACUGCUUAGAGGUUAAGCCCGAUGAACCUGAAUAUCCGUUAUAGAAAAUUCAUCAUUAUGACUUUAAUAUUUAAAAAUAUUAUAAUAAUAGUGUGCAUUUUUUCUAUAAAGGACAUUGUAAUCUAUUGACAUUAAUAAAAUCUAUCAAAGAUCAAUUGCGAAGGUUUAUUCGAUUUAUUUUGCUUGCAAUUUAACAUAGGGUAAACGCUUUUGAUUUGAUAGAGUGUCGAUAGAUUUAUUAUAUAUGGUGCUUGAAUAUUUAAUAUUCUAUAAUAGCAUAUUAAUUAUUAAUUUUUAUGUUUAUUAUAUGCACUUGUAUGAUUAACAAUGCGAAAGAUUCAGGAUACCUUCGGGACCCGUCUUGAAACACGGACCAAGGAGUCUAACAUAUUUGCAAGUUAUUGGGAAUAAAAACCUAAUAGCGAAAUUAACAUAACUUUAUUUGGGAUUAGUUUUUAGCCUAUUUAUAGUCUAUUAAUUCAAUCCCGGGGCGUUCUAUCGUUAUGUAUAAUAAUAUUUAUAUUAUUUAUACCUCUAACUAGAGCGUACCUUGAGCAUAUAUGCUGUGACCCGAAAGAUGGUGAACUAUACUUGAUCAGGUUGAAGUCAGGAAACCCUGAUGGAAGACCGAAACAGUUCUGACGUGCAAAUCGAUUGUCAGAAUUGAGUAUAGGGCGAAAGACCAAUCGAACCAUCUAGUAGCUGGUUCCCUCGAAGUUUCCCUCAGGAUAGCUGGUGCAUUUAAAAUUUAUGUAAAAUAAUCUUAUCUGGUAAAGCGAAUGAUUAGAGGCCUUAGGGUCGAAACGAUCUUAACCUAUUCUCAAACUUUAAAUGGGUAAGAACCUCACCUUUCUUGGUAUGAAGGUAGUGGUUGUGAUAUAAUGUGCCCAGUGGGCCACUUUUGGUAAGCAGAACUGGCGCUGUGGGAUGAACCAAACGUAAUGUUACGGUGCCCAAAUUAACAACUCAUGCAGAUACCAUGAAGGCGUUGGUUGUUAAAACAGCAGGACGGUGGACAUGGAAGUCGUAAUCCGCUAAGGAGUGUGUAACAACUCACCUGCCGAAGCAACUAGCCCUUAAAAUGGAUGGCGCUUAAGUUGUAUACCUAUACAUUACCGCUAAAGUAGAUGAUUUAUGUUCAAUUUCGGUUGGAUUAUAAAUUUUGAAACUUUAGUGAGUAGGAGUACAGUGGUAAGCAUAGAAGUGUUUGGCGUAAGCCUGCAUGGAGCUGCCAUUGGUACAGAUCUUGGUGGUAGUAGCAAAUAAUCGAAUGAGACCUUGGAGGACUGAAGUGGAGAAGGGUUUCGUGUGAACAGUGGUUGAUCACGAGUUAGUCGGUCCUAAGUUUAAGGCGAAAGCCGAAAAUUUUCAAGUUAUAAUAGAAAUGAAAAUGAAAUAUACAUAUUGUAAUAAAACACUUGAAUAAUUUUGAACGAAAGGAAUACGGUUCCAAUUCCGUAACCUGUUGAGUAUCCGUUUGUUAUUAAAUAUGGGCCUUGUGCUCAUCCUGGCAACAGGAACGACCAUAAAGAAGCCGUCGAGAGGUAUCGGAAGAGUUUUCUUUCUGUUUUAUAGCCGUACUACCAUGGAAGUCUUUCGAAGAGAUAUGGUAGAUGGGCUAGAAGAGCAUGACAUUUACUGUUGUGUCGAUAUUUUCUCCUCGGACCUUGAAAAUUUAUGGCGGGGUCACGCAAACUUCUCAACAGGCCGUACCAAUAUCCGCAGCUGGUCUCCAAGGUGAAGAUCUCUAGUCGAUAGAAUAAUGUAGGUAAGGGAAGUCGGCAAAUUAGAUCCGUAACUUCGGGAUAAGUUGGCUCUGAAGAUUGAGAUAGUCAGGCUUGAUUGGGAAGCAAUAACAUGGUUUUAUGUGCUCGUUCUGGGUAAACAGAGAUGUAUCUUGUUCCCCGGAUAAAUUACGUAGCCAAUUGUGGAACUUUCUUGCUAAAAUUUUAAGGAGAUUUAUCGCAAGGUACAUUCCUUUUUAAUUAUAACGACUAUCAAUUAACAAUCAAUUCAGAACUGGCACGGACUUGGGGAAUCCGACUGUCUAAUUAAAACAACAUUGUGAUGGCUAACGAAUUGUUGACACAAUGUGAUUUCUGCUUGAUGCUCUGAAUGUCAAAAUGAAGAAAUUCAAAUGAAAGCGCGGGUAAACUGGCUGGAGUAUGAGGCUCUCUUAAGGUAGCCAAAUGCCUCGUCAUCUAAUUGAGCGCGCAUGAAUGGAUUAACAGAGAUUCCCUCUGUCCCUAUCUACUAUCUAGCGAAACCACAGCCAAAGGGGCAGGCUUGGAAUAGUAGGGAAAAGAAGACCCUGUUGAGCUUGACUCUAAUCUGGCAGCAGUGUAAGGGCAUAAGAGGUGUAGAAUAAGUGGGAGAUUUUGGCCUUUCGGGGCCCAUAUCAGCAGUGAAAUACCACUACUCUUAUUGUUUCCUUACUUAUGAUUAAGUGGAAC
rnacentral:rRNA from 1 species